GGAUCAUUACAAGAAGCCGAAAGGCUACUUCAAACCAUCGCGAACUCGUCCAAGUUGCUUCGGCGGCGCGGCACCCCUUAACGGGGGCGCCGCAGCCCUGCCUCUCCGGAGGUUCGGGGCGCCCGCCGGAGGUACGAAACUCUGUAUUAUAGUGGCAUCUCUGAGUAUAAAACAAAUAAGUUAAAACUUUCAACAACGGAUCUCUUGGUUCUGGCAUCGAUGAAGAACGCAGCGAAAUGCGAUAAGUAAUGUGAAUUGCAGAAUUCAGUGAAUCAUCGAAUCUUUGAACGCACAUUGCGCCCGGUAGUACUCUACCGGGCAUGCCUGUUCGAGCGUCAUUUCAACCCUCAAGCCCUGCUUGGUGUUGGGGCCCUACGGCUGCCGUAGGCCCUGAAAGGAAGUGGCGGGCUCGCUACAACUCCGAGCGUAGUAAUUCAUUAUCUCGCUAGGGAGGUUGCGGCGUGCUCCUGCCGUUAAAGACCCAUCUUUAACCAAGGUUGACCUCGGAUCAGGUAGGAAUACCCGCUGAACUUAAGCAUAUCAAUAAGCGGAGGAAAAGAAACCAACAGGGAUUGCCCUAGUAACGGCGAGUGAAGCGGCAACAGCUCAAAUUUGAAAUCUGGCUUCGGCCCGAGUUGUAAUUUGUAGAGGAUGCUUUUGGUGAGGUGCCUUCUGAGUUCCCUGGAACGGGACGCCAGAGAGGGUGAGAGCCCCGUAUAGUCGGCCACCGAUCCUUUGUAAAGCUCCUUCGACGAGUCGAGUAGUUUGGGAAUGCUGCUCAAAAUGGGAGGUAUAUCUCUUCUAAAGCUAAAUAUAGGCCAGAGACCGAUAGCGCACAAGUAGAGUGAUCGAAAGAUGAAAAGCACUUUGAAAAGAGGGUUAAAUAGCACGUGAAAUUGUUGAAAGGGAAGCGCUUGUGACCAGACUUGUGCCGGGCUGAUCAUCCAGUGUUCUCACUGGUGCACUCGACCCGGCUCAGGCCAGCGUCGGUUUUCGUGGGGGGAUAAAAGCUUCGGGAACGUGGCACCUUCGGGUGUGUUAUAGCCCGUUGCUUAAUACCUCCGUGGAGACCGAGG
rnacentral:rRNA from 1 species